rnacentral:tRNA from 1 species
GGGGAUUUAGCUCAGUGGCAUAAGCGCCUGCAUUGCAAACAGGCAGUCGUGAGUUCAAUCCCCG